rnacentral:lncRNA from 1 species
UUUAGGUAAAUAAUUAUUUAUUGUAACAUAACAAUUAAAUUUAAUAAUAACUAACAAUAAUAAAACAUUGUUUAACAUCAUGUGUUCAUGAUUUUGUGUGGGCGAAUCUUUAAGUGAUAAAUGUAGCAGUGUCAUGAUUGUUGAGUGAUAAAUGAUACCCAAUAUUACAGGAUAAAUACAGAAUAAAGGCAUAUUUUAUACAGAC